rnacentral:rRNA from 1 species
ACGGAGGGUGCAAGCGUUACUCGGAAUCACUGGGCGUAAAGAGCGUGUAGGCGGAUUGAUAAGUCAGAAGUGAAAUCCAAUAGCUCAACUAUUGAACUGCUUUUGAAACUAUUAAUCUAGAAUAUGGGAGAGGUAGAUGGAAUUUCUGGUGUAGGGGUAAAAUCCGUAGAGAUCAGAAGGAAUACCGAUUGCGAAGGCGAUCUACUGGAACAUUAUUGACGCUGAGACGCGAAAGCGUGGGGAGCAAACAGG